rnacentral:rRNA from 1 species
GACGAACGCUGGCGGCGUGCUUAACACAUGCAAGUCGAACGGAAAGGCCCCUUUGGGGGUACUCGAGUGGCGCACGGGUGAGUAACACGUGAGUAACCUGCCCUUGACUUCGGGAUAACUUCAGGAAACUGGGGCUAAUACCGGAUAGGAAUCCUUGCUGCAUGGUGGGGGUUGGAAAGCUUCGGCGGUUUUGGAUGGACUCGCGGCUUAUCAGCUUGUUGGUGGGGUAGUGGCUUACCAAGGCUUUGACGGGUAGCCGGCCUGAGAGGGCGACCGGCCACAUUGGGACUGAGAUACGGCCCAGACUCCUACGGGAGGCAGCAGUGGGGAAGAUUGCACAAUGGGCGGAAGCCUGAUGCAGCAACGCCGCGUGCGGGAUGACGGCCUUCGGGUUGGAAACCGCUUUCAGCAGGGGCGAAGCUUGUGGUGACGGUACCUGCAGAAGAAGCACCGGCUAACUACGUG